rnacentral:ncRNA from 2 species
CUCGUCAUCUAAUUAGUGACGC